AGGACGAACGCUGGCGGCGUGCUUAACACAUGCAAGUCGAGCGAGGCCCUUCCUUCGGGAAGGUGCCCUAGCGGCGAACGGGUGAGUAACACGUGGGCAACCUGCCCCUAGCACUGGGAUAACUCCGGGAAACCGGGGCUAAUACCGGAUAUGACCUUUGAGGGCAUCCUCUUUGGUGUAAAGGAUUCUGGCUAGGGAUGGGCCCGCGGCCUAUCAGCUUGUUGGUGGGGUAAUGGCCUACCAAGGCGACGACGGGUAGCCGGCCUGAGAGGGCGACCGGCCACACUGGGACUGAGACACGGCCCAGACUCCUACGGGAGGCAGCAGUGGGGAAUAUUGCACAAUGGGCGAAAGCCUGAUGCAGCGACGCCGCGUGAGGGAUGACGGCCUUCGGUUGUAAACCUCUUUCUAGCUCGACGAAGCGAAAGUGACGGUAGGAGCAGAAGAAGCACCGGCCAACUACGUGCCAGCAGCCGC
rnacentral:rRNA from 1 species